AAUAAUUAUGGACUCCCAUAUCCUGCAACCAUUUCUACCAUUGAUCAGAUGAGAAGCCUUUCCUAGGGAGCAAUGCAAGAUCUGGGCCAGAUAUGCCUCGAAUCACAGAACUGACCUGUGUGACCAUGUGAGCUGGAGGUAACUUGCAGAAGGGAUCUCAUGAGACCCUGCAUAACAUCAUUUAAAAAAGGAAUGGUAUUGUGAACAGCAGCUCAACACUGUGCAAGCCACCUACACUAUCUAGCAUUCAGAACUAUAAAGUGUUGUUUGUUUUCUUAGGCAUACUAUGAGUUUGUCUUGCACAUUGUCAGCCAGGGAACACAAUCAUAACAGCAGGGAGAUUUCCCAACCAUAGAUAAUAAUGCUUUUUUGUCUUUUGCCUCUGAAUAACAGAGAUAAAUAAAACAACAUUUUUGCACAUA